GAUGAACGCUGGCGGCGUGCCUAAUACAUGCAAGUCGAGCGAACAGACGAGGAGCUUGCUCCUCUGACGUUAGCGGCGGACGGGUGAGUAACACGUGGAUAACCUACCUAUAAGACUGGGAUAACUUCGGGAAACCGGCGCUAAUACCGGAUAAUAUAUUGAACCACAUGGUUCAAUAGUGAAAGACGGUGUUGCUGUCACUUAUAGAUGGUUCCGGGCCGCAUUAGCUAGUUGGUAAGUUAACAGCUUACCAAGGCAACGAUGCGUAGCCGACGUGAGAGAGUGAUCGCCCACACGGGAACUGAGACACGGUCCAGACUCCUACGGGAGGCAGCAGUAGGGAACCGUACGCAACGGGCGAAAGCCUGACGGAGCAACGCCGAGUGUGUGAUGACGGUCCUCGGAUCGUAAAACUCUGUUAUUAGGGAAGAACAAAUGUGUAAGUAACUAUGCACGUCUUGACGGUAACUAAUCAGAAAGCCACGGCUAACUACGUG
rnacentral:rRNA from 1 species